rnacentral:piRNA from 2 species
UUACAAAUAGGAUGGUGUUCUUGAUAGUU